rnacentral:misc_RNA from 1 species
GAUGAAGAACGUAGCGAAAUGCGAUAAGUAAUGUGAAUUGCAGAAUUCAGUGAAUCAUCGAAUCUUUGAACGCAUCUUGCGCUCCUUGGUAUUCCGAGGAGCAUGCCUGUUUGAGUGUCAUUAUCAACCCUCAAGCCUGGCUUGUUGUUGGACCUCACCUCGUCAAGAGAUGGGCCCAAAAGGCAAUGGCGGCGUCGUGAUCGACCCCCGGUGCAACGAGCUUUGUAGCACGCACGGUGCCGGUCGGUUCGGCCCGGUCUCAAAUAUGUUAUUUCUCAAGGUUGACCUCGGAUCAGGUAGGAAUACCCGCUGAACUUAAGCAUAUCAAUAAGCGGAGGA